rnacentral:rRNA from 1 species
GUAGGUGGCAAGCGUUGUCCGGAAUUAUUGGGCGUAAAGCGCGCGCAGGCGGUUCUUUAAGUCUGAUGUGAAAGCCCACGGGCUCAACCGUGGAGGGUCAUUGGAAACUGGAGAACUUGAGUACAGAAGAGGAAAGCGGAAUUCCACGUGUAGCGGUGAAAUGCGUAGAGAUGUGGAGGAACACCAGUGGCGAAGGCGGCUUUCUGGUCUGUAACUGACGCUGAGGCGCGAAAGCGUGGGGAGCAAACAGGAUUAGAUACCCUGGUAGUCCACGCCGUAAACGAUGAGUGCUAAGUGUUAGGGGGUUUCCGCCCCUUAGUGCUGCAGCUAACGCAUUAGGCACUCCGCCUGGGGAGUACGGCCGCAAAGGCUG